UCAAGCUACUGGGCAGAUGUGUGGACACCUAUGAGCCAAACUUGGGACGUUUGGUUUUUAGGUGUGACCGUCUGGGCAGCAGAAACAAGACAACGAAUCAUAUUUAGAUACAAUCAAAUGUCCAAACCAUCUCUGAGUGAAUGACAUGAAGGAAACAGGAUCAAAAAGAUCAUUCAUUAUAGACCGUUUCAUAGUUGGUUAUAUUUUUCAGGUCCUCCUGAUCAUUCUGUUCUCCUGGUUGU